UUCGUAGGUGGUGCGGCAAGUUGGAAGUGAAAUCUCUGGGCUUAACCCAGAGGCUGCUUUCAAAAACUGCCGCGCUCGAGUGCGAGAGAGGUCAGUGGAAUUGCAGGUGUAGCGGUGAAAUGCGUAGAUAUCUGCAGGAACACCCGUGGCGAAGGCGGCUGACUGGAUCGCAACUGACACUGAGGAACGAAAGCUAGGGGAGCAAACAGGAUUAGAUACCCUGGUAGUCCUAGCCCUAAACAUCAGAACUUGGGGUGGCCCGCGUAGGCGGGUCGUCCCGUAGCUAACGCGUUAAGUUCUGCGCCUGGGGAGUACGGUCGCAAGACUGAA
rnacentral:rRNA from 1 species